UACGUAGGUGGCAAGCGUUGUCCGGAUUUACUGGGCGUAAAGGGAGCGUAGGUGGAUAUUUAAGUGGGAUGUGAAAUACUCGGGCUUAACCUGGGUGCUGCAUUCCAAACUGGAUAUCUAGAGUGCAGGAGAGGAAAGUAGAAUUCCUAGUGUAGCGGUGAAAUGCGUAGAGAUUAGGAAGAAUACCAGUGGCGAAGGCGACUCUCUGGACUGUAACUGACACUGAGGCUCGAAAGCGUGGGGAGCAAACAGG
rnacentral:rRNA from 1 species